CACAAAGCCUCCAACCACGUCAACAGAAGGAGGUGCAGCCUCCCCCACGUCACCAAGGUGCCACAUGACAGGACGAGUAUUAUGGGAAACAUUGAUCUCACUCCGAUGGUGUGGACCUGAGCAGUCCUGGUACCUGGGAUAAAAGUUGCAGCGUCCCACCAUCCACCAGACAGACCACCUGACCCCUUCUCAACUCUGUAACAUGGACGCAACCUCAACCCAGCGCAGUUACAACUUCACUAUCAGCGGAAGGGGAGAAAAACCGAUUCAAAUCAACUUGUACAUGGAAACAGCAAGCAUUAUGGUCAAACAGCAAAGGCCAUAACCUUUUGGGAUUUUUUUUUUUUUAAAAUACUUUAGGGACUGUUGUAAUUUCUCAUAUGGUGCUGGAAAUGGUUGGGCUUUGUAACAUUUGAAGUGUUUCCAUGGUAGCGUGAGCAUUAGGUGACGUGGCUAGCGGAGGACUACCCUUGCUCACUGACUUCCUGUUGUAACACACUUUCCUUACGGAGCCUGGCUGUUUCACAGUAUUUCAUGAAUUUACCCACACAGGUGUGAUCCUCCUUGAGCAUUGAGGAGGCACAUGGAGAACUAAAUCUUUUGUAGUAGCUGAGAUCUGCAAUAUAUAACGGGACAGUCAAAGGGCAAUGUUUUUCUGUAACAUAUUGGAAAAAGAAAAUGCAGUUAUAUUCCUUU
rnacentral:lncRNA from 1 species